ensembl:misc_RNA Metazoa_SRP Metazoan signal recognition particle RNA
GCUGGGCAUGGUGGCCAUGUAGUCCCAGCUAUUCGGGAGGCUGAAGCAGGAGGACGGCUUGAGCCCAGGAGUUCUAGGCUGUCAUGUGCAAUGCCUAUCGGUUGUCUACACUAUGUUCAGCAUCAGUAUGGUAGCCUCCCAGCAGCAGGGGACCACUAGGUUGCCUAGGGAGGAGUGAACCAGCCCAAGUUGAAAAUGGAGCAGGUCAAAACUCUCGUGCUGAUCAGUAGUAAGAUCACGCCUGUGAAUAGCCACUACACUCCAUCCUGGCCAACAUAGUGAGAACCUGCCUCUA